GUGCCAGCAGCCGCGGUAAUACGUAGGUGGCAAGCGUUGUCCGGAUUUAUUGGGCGUAAAGCGAGCGCAGGCGGUUUCUUAAGUCGGAUGUGAAAGCCUUCGGCUCAACCGAAGAAGUGCAUCGGAAACUGGGAAACUUGAGUGCAGAAGAGGACAGUGGAACUCCAUGUGUAGCGGUGAAAUGCGUAGAUAUAUGGAAGAACACCAGUGGCGAAGGCGGCUGUCUGGUCUGUAACUGACGCUGAGGCUCGAAAGCAUGGGUAGCAAACAGGAUUAGAUACCCUGGUAGUCCAUGCCGUAAACGAUGAGUGCUAGGUGUUGGAGGGUUUCCGCCCUUCAGUGCCGCAGCUAACGCAUUAAGCACUCCGCCUGGGGAGUACGACCGCAAGGUUGAAACUCAAAGGAAUUGACGGGGGCCCGCACAAGCGGUGGAGCAUGUGGUUUAAUUCGAAGCAACGCGAAGAACCUUACCAGGUCUUGACAUCCUUUGACCACUCUAGAGAUAGAGCUUUCCCUUCGGGGACAAAGUGACAGGUGGUGCAUGGUUGUCGUCAGCUCGUGUCGUGAGAUGUUGGGUUAAGUCCCGCAACGAGCGCAACCCUUAUUACUAGUUGCCAGCAUUAGGUUGGGCACUCUAGUGAGACUGCCGGUGACAAACCGGAGGAAGGUGGGGACGACGUCAAAUCAUCAUGCCCCUUAUGACCUGGGCUACACACGUGCUACAAUGGAUGGUACAACGAGUUGCGAGACCGCGAGGUUUAGCUAAUCUCUUAAAACCAUUCUCAGUUCGGAUUGUAGGCUGCAACUCGCCUACAUGAAGCCGGAAUCGCUAGUAAUCGCGGAUCAGCAUGCCGCGGUGAAUACGUUCCCGGGCCUUGUACACACCGCCCGU
rnacentral:rRNA from 1 species